rnacentral:rRNA from 1 species
GAUGAACGCUGGCGGCGUGCCUAAUACAUGCAAGUCGAGCGAAUGAAGAGGAGCUUGCUCCUCUGAUUUAGCGGCGGACGGGUGAGUAACACGCGGGUAAUCUGCCUGUAAGACGGGGAUAACUCCGGGAAACCGGGGCUAAUACCGGAUAAUAAGAGAAGAAGCAUUUCUUCUUUUUGAAAGUAGGUUUCGGCUGACCAUUACAGAUGAGCCCGCGGCGCAUUAGAUCGUGGGUGAGGUAACGGCCCUACAAGGCGACGAUGCGUAGCAGAUCUGAGAGGGGGAUCGGCCACACUGGGACGGAGACACGGCCCAGACUGCUACGGGAGGCAGCAGUAGGGAAUCUUCGGCAAUGGGCGAAAGCCUGACCGAGCAACGCCGCGUGAGCGAUGAAGGCCUUCGGGUCGUAAAGCUCUGUUGUUAGAGAAGAACAAGUACGAGAGUAACUGCUCGUACCUUGACGGUACCUAACCAGAAAGCCACGGCUAACUACGUGCCAGCAGCCGCCGUAAAAC